rnacentral:rRNA from 1 species
UACGGAGGGUGCAAGCGUUAAUCGGAAUCACUGGGCGUAAAGCGCUCGUAGGCUGUUUGGUAAGUCAGACGUGAAAGCCCGCGGCUUAACCGCGGAACUGCGUUUGAUACUGCCAGACUUGAGUGUCGGAGAGGGUGGCGGAAUUCCGGGUGUAGGAGUGAAAUCCGUAGAUAUCCGGAGGAACACCAGUGGCGAAGGCGGCCACCUGGACGACAACUGACGCUGAGGAGCGAAAGCGUGGGUAGCAAAC